AUUGAACGCUGGCGGCAUGCCUUACACAUGCAAGUCGAGCGGCAGCGCGGGGGCAACCCUGGCGGCGAGCGGCGAACGGGUGAGUAAUACAUCGGAACGUGUCCAGUAGCGGGGGAUAACCUGUCGAAAGAUAGGCUAAUACCGCAUACGACCUACGGGUGAAAGCGGGGGACCGCAAGGCCUCGCACUAUUGGAGCGGCCGAUGUCGGAUUAGCUAGUUGGCGGGGUAACGGCCCACCAAGGCGACGAUCCGUAGCUGGUCUGAGAGGACGACCAGCCACACUGGAACUGAGACACGGUCAGACUCCUACGGGAGGCAGCAGUGGGGAAUUUUGGACAAUGGGCGCAAGCCUGAUCCAGCCAUGCCGCGUGAGUGAAGAAGGCCUUCGGGUUGUAAAGCUCUUUCGGCGGGGACGAAACGGUCCGUGCCAACACCACGGAUCAAUGACGGCACUCGCAGAAGAAGCACCGGCUAACUACGUGCCAGCCGCCGCCGUAA
rnacentral:rRNA from 1 species